UGGCGAUAUAGCAUCGCAAAUUCAAUUUCCACGAAUACUCAGUCGCCUCCGUGGAAUCAAAAUGAGAAGAGGACGGAAGCACUUCGAGAUGGGAGUUUCAAAGUCGAGCUAUGCUCGUCGUCGUCUAAAGACGACAUCGAUUUUCCGAACCGAGUGCUUCCAAAGUACGUAAACGACGAUGAAUCGUGUAGCGUUGCCGAGAUGCGAUGGGAAACUUCUUAUAAAAAAUUGAAAAAGGAUGAAUUAACACAUCGUCAGUUACUUGGUGAAAUGCGGUUUCUCAAGCGUAGAGAAAAUUAUGCGGAAAUUAUAGCUACAGAAAAUCUAUUUCAGUAUAUAUCUAUAUACGAAUGAUAAAUUGUAUAAGUACGAAUUGUAUAAAGGAUACACAAGGACAACGAUCCAUUUCAUACGAACCUGUUUUCGAAGCGGUGGGAAGACUUGGAGGAACAUUUGGUACGUUUCCACGGUUAUUGCUAUUCGAUUAAAAGUAUAACGUAGCGUACGAACGAAGAACAUUCAGAGAACUGAUGCCAUUUCAAAAAAAAUAUGUCAACACUGAUAACGACAUUUACGAAGACGAAUCACGUUUGCACAACGAAAGCCUAGCGAGCACUGUUGGUGUUCUGCGGUUAAAUACUCAACUAUCGAGAAUCGUACGCUUCUAUAAUAAACAUUGGCUGUAACAGUUCGUUCAUAAUGUAUCCAAACGAGUAUACGCGUCACGGCAGUGAUAUGCUACGAAUUAAUGUCUCGAUGAUAAGUUAGAUAAGAAAUUAAAAUAUUUUUCUUUUUCUAACAUUUUUACUACAAAACUCAAUUUCUAUCUUCUAAAAGAUAUACGAUACUUUGAAAUAAAUAAAUAAAUAUACAUGAAA